rnacentral:rRNA from 1 species
AUUGAACGCUGGCGGCAGGCCUAACACAUGCAAGUCGAACGGUAACAGGAAGCAGCUUGCUGCUUUGCUGACGAGUGGCGGACGGGUGAGUAAUGUCUGGGAAACUGCCCGAUGGAGGGGGAUAACUACUGGAAACGGUAGCUGAUACCGCAUAACGUCGCAAGACCAAAGAGGGGGACCUUAGGGCCUCUUGCCAUCGGAUGUGCCCAGAUGGGAUUAGCUAGUAGGUGGGGUAACGGCUCACCUAGGCGACGAUCCCUAGCUGGUCUGAGAGGAUGACCAGCCACACUGGAACUGAGACACGGUCCAGACUCCUACGGGAGGCAGCAGUGGGGAAUAUUGCACAAUGGGCGCAAGCCUGAUGCAGCCAUGCCGCGUGUAUGAAGAAGGCCUUCGGGUUGUAAAGUACUUUCAGCGGGGAGGAAGGGAGUAAAGUUAAUACCUUUGCUCAUUGACGUUACCCGCAGAAGAAGCACCGGCUAACUCCGUG